rnacentral:lncRNA from 1 species
UUUCUCUCUCCUUAUCUCACUCCUCUCUACCACGGCCUCCACCGACUCCUCUCCACCACUGCCCCACCUCGCCUCCUUCCUCCACCAUGUUUGGACCCCUCUCAAUAACGAUGCGAGUGAAGAUUUCUCGGGCAAUGGCACAAAGCGGGCUCCUCCUUGUGACGACACACGGGGCUCCUGACAUCCUCCAGGUCUUCUCGUUCCCUCUCACAGUCAAUCUCUCUCUAGAUUUGGUCGAGGCAAGCUUGGUAGUGGAGGAGGGUAGAGGAGGGGCGACAUCGCUCAUGGACAAACUGCUGGCGGACGCCUAUUGAAUAUGUGAUGGCUUAGGAGCUGUGUCCAUGGCGGUAGCAGGUUCUGACAGUCUUGAUAGUGGCUCAAUGGUGGAGGGCCAAUAUUGUGUGGCUCAAUGGCGGCAAUGGGCUCACUGCGCAUGAUAAUACCAAUGGUUUAUUUUAAUUUUUUAUAUAAAUAUAUGUAUGUAUAUAUUAUUGUUAAUAGAAAAACCGGUGGUGAUAGGUCUUACGAGCCGACAAUCAUGAGAUAUGUGUUGUAGUGCUGAGGUCAUUGUUGUAAGGUGACUGCCUCUGUUAAUAGAGUGUUAAUGGAGCAAGUUUUUUUAUAUAAACCUGCUUCGCAAUGACUAACAUAAGUGUCCAUCUUAUGUAAGCCUGCUUUGCCACACCUAUUUAUCCUUCUUCUAGACAACUCCUUAUGUGAGUGAACAGCUCUAGAUCUGUAAGAAAAGGCAUAUUUCAAGGGGGAGGUUUUGAUAUUUGGUGCUCCCACUACCACAAUCCCAAAUUACCUUGAGUGCUAAAGAUUUCCUUAAGGGCCAAAACAAAACCGCAAUGAAAAGUGCAGUUUCCUUGGCUGCAGACAUAUAUAGACCUCCAAGGAAAUGGAUAUUCUUGAGUGCUAAAUGAAACAACCAAGGUAAUUCCAUGUUUCCUUGAGUAUUAUUACAAACUGCCAAGGUAAUUCAUAUUUUCUUGGAUGUAAUUUGAAACCCUAAAGGAAAUUCUCAGAGCUUUAAAAUGCAAAUUUUUGAAAUUUCCAAAUGAACUUGGAUAGAGAUAUGACCUAAACUGAAGUUAUAGUAUUCGACGAGAUCCAAAACUUUUUAGUUUAGACUUUUUACAUUUGAAAUUGUUUUGGAUCUAAAAAAUUCCUUACAAGAUUCAACAAAGUGAAUACAAAAAAAAACAUAAUCUACUUGGUCACAAGAUGCUUUGAGUUGUAGUGGUAAGAGCUUUUCUAUUUGAAGCAAUAGAGCACAGGUUUGAAUCCUAGCAGGCGCAGCUUGCAUUAAUUUAUGUUUUUUUUUUGCUAUUCCUUUAUAUUUUCCUUGGAUGUUGAUGGCCCUCAAGGAAAUGGUGAGGAAUAUUUUCUUGAAGGUUGCUAGUCCUCAAGAAAACUAAUUUACUUGAAGGUUUCAACAUUUUCUUGUCUACAAAUUAAGUAUGAUCCUUGAGUGGCAAAACCGCCAAGGAAACUAAUUUCCUUUGUGCUGUUUCCUUGGGGUAGUUUGCUUGAUGAUUUGUGGCCAAGGAUCAUUUCCUUGGCAGUUUAGUCCAUUUCCUUUACGAUUUUGGGUACUCAAGAUAAUCCGGGAUUGUGGUAGUGCUCCUUAUAGGUUAGUUUCUGCCCUCAUAUGUUUUUUUUAUGCCUCUUUUGAGUGUUUUGAUAGCAUUUUUGCUAGUUCUUGAGGUCUAUAUCAGGAUUAGUGGGAAGACAGAUGAAAGAGUACAUGUCUGUGUGAGAGGCAAACAAAAAAAACAAAAAUCUUAGGCUACCAAGUGUGGAGAUAAAUGUGUAGAUUUGUAUAUUUUUGUGCCCCAAUAUGUUUUCAAUAAUUAGUUAUUGAUUCCAUAAUUAUUUCAUAUUUUUUGACAUAGCUCCAUCAUGCUGUAUGAUUGUUUUUGUGUACAUAUAUAUUUUUAUGACAAAUUAGUUUAUUUAUUGUUUUGUAUGUACAGAUUAUCCACCAUUUAUUAGUUUAGGGUUCCUUGAUGCAUCUAUUAUAUUUUCCGUUCAAAGCUAAAAAAUGGAUAGAUCACAAUGGAUAUACAAUUCAUCAAGGCUGCAUGUCCUGUUUAAUGCAAGAAGUGUGAUAGUUUGUUGACACUGCAAGGAAGCAUGCUCUGAUGGAGAAUUAUUAGACUAAUAUGUCCAUGCUCUCACUGCAAAAACAAGAGAGUAUGGUUAGCAGCUUGUGAGUCAAAUCUCAUUUGGUUAGGUGGGGUUUCAAAUUUCAUCAAGGGCUACAUGGCUUGGACCUUUCACAACUUCACUACAUCCGUAACAUCAGUGGUGGUGGACCAUCUUUCCUCUAUGAAAAUUUACAUUGCCUGGAUCACUUUCUUUGAACCUACGCUCCUUAUAGGAGGCACGUCCCUAACAUAUACAGAGCUUGGAGAAAGAGGGUCAUGGACUUUUCCUUGUUGUUGCUCUCAUCCUUUCACACGAGAUAGAGAUGCAUAUAUUAAAGUAGAGAUAUAGACACAAACCAAUAACAAAGCACUCCUGUUUUUUGUAAGCACAUAAGUUAUUGUCAAGAAAUCUAUUUUGUGCAAAAUUAUUGAAAUAGAAAGAAAGAAGUGUCUACACGGACCUCUUCAUCAAUGUUGGAAUUCAACCUGCUAUUAAUGUGGUUCUUUCAGUUUCCAGAGUUUUCUUGCCUUCGAAGAUUCAUAUAUUCAACAACAAUUGUUUCUAUUUUCAUUUGAUCUAGUUGAUGGAAAUAUACUUAUACUUAUC